rnacentral:tRNA from 1 species
GAGUGGUAGUUCAGUUGGUUAGAAUACCGGCCUGUCACGCCGGGGGUCGCGGGUUCGAGUCCCGUCCACUCCG